UACAGAGGUUGCAAGCGUUGUUCGGAUUCACUGGGCGUAAAGGGCGCGUAGGUGGUGUGGUAAGUCGGAUGUGAAAUCCCCGAGCUUAACUUGGGAAUUGCGCUCGAAACUACGAUGCUCGAGUAUGGCAGAGGAAGGUGGAAUUCCACGUGUAGCGGUGAAAUGCGUAGAGAUGUGGAGGAACACCGAUGGCGAAGGCAGCCUUCUGGGCCAAUACUGACGCUCAUGCACGAAAGCGUGGGGAGCAAACAGG
rnacentral:rRNA from 1 species